GAUGAACGCUGGCGGCGUGCCUAAUACAUGCAAGUCGAGCGAAGCGGGGACGGGUGAGUAACACGUGGAUAACCUCCUAUAAGACUGGGAUAACUUCGUGAAACCGGAGCUAACCCGGUUCCUUAUCGAUGGAUCUGACCUGCAGUAGCUAGUUGGUAAGGUAACGGCUUACCAAGGCAACGAUGCAUAGCCGACCUGAGAGGGUGAUCGGCAACACUGGAACUGAGACACGGUCCAGACUCCUACGGGAGGCAGCAGUGGGGAAUAUUCCGCAAUGGGCGAAAGCCUGACGGAGCAACGCCGCGUGAGUGAUGAAGGUCGUCGGAUCGUAAAACUCUGUUAGUAGGGAAGCGGUACCUAAUCAGAAAGCCACGGCUAACUACGUGCCAGCAGCCGCGGUAAUUC
rnacentral:rRNA from 1 species